rnacentral:rRNA from 1 species
AGAGGGGGGUAGAAUUCCACGUGUAGCAGUGAAAUGCGUAGAGAUGUGGAGGAAUACCGAUGGCGAAGGCAGCCCCCUGGGAUAAYACYGACGUUCAUGCUCGAAAGCGUGGGUAGCAAACAGGAUUAGAUACCCUGGUAGUCCACGCCCUAAACGAUGUCGAUUAGCUGUUGGGCAGCUUGACUGCUUAGUAGCGUAGCUAACGCGUGAAAUCGACCGCCUGGGGAGUACGGUCGCAAGAUUAAAACUCAAAGGAAUUGACGGGGACCCGCACAAGCGGUGGAUGAUGUGGAUUAAUUCGAUGCAACGCGAAGAACCUUACCUGGUCUUGACAU